AAGAUUUUAAGUUAAUUCAAAACUAUUAAUCUUCAAAAUUAAAAAUAAAAUUUAACUUUUUAAAUCUUA
rnacentral:tRNA from 1 species